AGGAAAUAGAUACCCUGGUAGUCCACGCUGUAAACGAUGGAUACUAGGUGUAACCGGUCUCGACCCCGGUUGUGCCGCAGCUAAACGCAUUAAGUAUCCCGCCUGGGGAGUAUGGCCGCAAGGUUGAAACUCAAAGGAAUUGACGGGGGCCCGCACAAGCGGUGGAGGAUGUGGUUUAAUUCGACGCAACGCGAAGAACCUUACCAAGGCUUGACAUCCACAGAACCUGCUAGAAAUAGUGGGGUGUCCGAAAGGAAACUGUGAGACAGGUGGUGCAUGGCUGUCGUCAGCUCGUGUCGUGAGAUGUUGGGUUAAGUCCCCGCAACGAGCGCAACCCUCGAUGUUAGUUACCAUCAUUAAGUUGGGGACUCUAACGUGACUGCCGGUGAUAAGCCGGAGGAAGGUGAGGACGACGUCAAGUCAUCAUGCCCCUUACGUCUUGGGCUACACACGUCCUACAAUGGCAUAGACAAAGGGCUGCAAGCUAGCGAUAGUGAGCGAAUCCCAUAAACUAUGUCUCAGUUCGGAUUGCAGG
rnacentral:rRNA from 1 species